CCUACGGGUGGCAGCAGUGAGGAAUAUUGGUCAAUGGGCGCGAGCCUGAACCAGCCAAGUCGCGUGAGGGAAGACGGUCCUAUGGAUUGUAAACCUCUUUUGUCGGGGAGCAAAAGACGCCACGCGUGGCGUUCCGAGAGUACCCGAAGAAAAAGCAUCGGCUAACUCCGUGCCAACAGCCGCGGUAAUACGGAGGAUGCGAGCGUUAUCCGGAUUUAUUGGGUUUAAAGGGUGCGCAGGCGGAAGAUCAAGUCAGCGGUAAAAUUGAGAGGCUCAACCUCUUCGAGCCGUUGAAACUGGUUUUCUUGAGUGAGUGAGAGGUAAGCGGAAUGCGGGGUGUAGCGGUGAAAUGCAUAGAUAUCACGCAGAACUCCGAUUGCGAAGGCAGCAUACCGGCGCUCAACUGACGCUCAUGCACGAAAGUGUGGGUAGCGAACAGGAUUAGAUACCCCUGUAGUC
rnacentral:rRNA from 1 species